GGGCGGUUAGCUCAGCUGGUUUAGAGCACCUGCCUUACAAGCAGGGGGUCACUGGUUCGAAUCCAGUACCGCCCA
rnacentral:tRNA from 1 species